rnacentral:lncRNA from 1 species
CAUAUCCAAGGGAGAUGACUACUAAACUUUAAGCUUGCAGAGUAUAUUCCUGUCCAUGAAUACCAGUCCAUAGAGGUGAAACCACAAAUACUAGUUCACAGGGAUGAAGACUCUAGUAUCUAAGUCAGGCUUCAGGGAACUAAGUCAACUCAUCAAACUGGGCAGGGGCAUGACCUGCUUAACUGGACUCUCAGGAUGAAAUGUCUUUUGAAGACAAGAGAACCAUCACAGGAAUAUGGUAGCAAAAAACCUAGAAAAUAACAGUGUACCCAAGCAUCUUUCCAGGACCCUCCCAUGGAUCUGUGGGAGAAUAAAGCGUUCACAUUCUGCCU